GCCGGGCAUGGUGGUGCGUGCCUGUAGUCCCAGCUACUCAGGAGGCUGAGGCAGGAGAAUUGCUUGAACCCAGGACGCCGAGGUUGCAGUGAGCCAAGAUUGCACCACUGCACUCCAGCCUGGGCGACACAGCAAGAAUCAGUCUCCA
rnacentral:SRP_RNA from 2 species